UGGACCGUGAAACAUUUAUGAAAGAGCUUGAGAAUUUCUACAGAUAGCGGUCCUUGGAAUUUAAGCCUCCUAAGUUUUACGAAGAGCCUCUAAAUUACCUUAAGUAUGUAUAAUAUCCCCUGUGAUGCAAGGGUGUAACCCCUUUCUCAUAAGCAUUCUAAAGGCUAGUUUAAGUUGGCCUGACCUCCUUGAUAUUUGAAUGUGUUAUUACAUUGUUCUGAUAGUGGAUCCCUUACUUUUCAACUGGCUGCAGGUUGUGGAGAGCUGUUAUCAGACUGGGUUCCUAUGAUGUGUUGCUCUAUCAGGUAUUUCAAGCAAUUGGUGCUGUCAGAGGAUUUCUAAGACCAUAUUCUCUUAUCGCAAUUAUAUUUAUUUACAUAUCCCUGUAUAGAAGGGUCUCCAACAACAUUUAAAUCACAUUCUGGUAGAUUGGGUCACCUGUGCAUCAAUCUUGUUUUCAUUCUUCUUAUCCUAACAUAAUGUAAAAUACCUAUAAUGUUAUGAAUUUUAUUAAAUUCUUCUUAAAGUUCUUGGUUUUGAUCUUCUUAAUUGUUUAAUAGAGUCUGUCAACUUUAUGUAUGACCAUCCAAUUGCAUUUGAUUUUGUCAGUAUAUGGCAUCUAAUGGUCCUAAUCCACCUCCUCCACUCUAGGCACAAUCUAAUAAGGAGAAGGG
rnacentral:sRNA from 1 species